GCUAUGUUAGUACAGUGGUGAGUAUCGGGCAAGUCGAAGUAAUGGUAAAAGCCACUACUAGACACCGUAAUGAGUGCGCGAGGCAUGGGUUCGAUUCCCAUACAUGGCC